UACAGAGGUCUCGAGCGUUAGGCGGAAUCACUGGGCUUAAAGCGUGUGUAGGUGGAUCGUUAAGUACCUUGUGAAAUCCCACGGCUUAACCGUGGAACUGCUUGGUAUACUGGCGGUCUUGAGUCAGCUAGGGGCUACCGGAACAAAUGGUGGAGCGGUGAAAUGCGUAGAUAUCUGGAGGAACACCGGUGGCGAAAGCGGCUCACUGGACCCGAUCUGACACUGAGGUGCUAAAGCUAGGGUAGCAAACGGG
rnacentral:rRNA from 1 species